UAACGUGUGGGAUUUCUAUAAGAAGACGCAAAGUGCCUCAGCACACCUUAAAUUAAUGCUCCACAUAAUAUAUUAUUAUUAAAACCCUUUAAAUUUGUGAUAUUUUAUUAUUUUCUUGGUAGUGAUGAUUGUGGAAGCUUGGGUCCUUGAACGUCUGACAUUGAAGUCAGAACAUACAGUACUUUCGUUUCUGGGAACAUCAACUUUAACGGAUCAAAUUGGAAAGCAAAAUCCUGGCGGGUUCAAGCUCUACUUAUUUUGUAGGCCAAAAAACAAAAGCUGCGUGUCUCUGCAACACUCUUUGUUUCUAAUUACUUGUUGGUAGACAAAUGGCCAUGGAGUUUCCUUUCUUUAACGCCGAACCACUUUAGUAGAGAGAAUCGUGAUUAACUCCUCGCCAUUGCAACUAACAAUAACAACCCUGUGUUGAGCUUGGCAAUUCAAUUAAAUGAUAAAAACUCUCAAAUCUCUUCUUGUUUCAAUAAGCUUAAUUGGGGCUCUUCUUGAUUGACGUGUAUGUAAACCUACAAACAUUUAUACAUGAAGCCUCAACAAAAAAAAACAUAUUCGAAAUAAAAAUUAAAUGAUGGCUAUUUUUCACGUGACAAUAUAUAGAUGUAUAUAUCUGGUUCCGAUAGCUGAGAAGAUUAAGAAAGAAGCUAAGAAGACUAAAUAUUAAUUAGUGUAAAAGGAUGAUAUUCAACAAAAACUAGAGCAAUAAUUUCCUAGACCUUGAAGGAGUAAUCUUGAUAACAAGACCAGGGUAAACAUCAUCGGGAUCGUGAAUAUGAGGAUUCUCCUCCACGAUAAAAGGGUCGCCACACUUAUCACUGAUGGUGUGAAGGGUUUCUCCUUCCUUUACAACAUAAAUUUCAUCGCAAGGUCGGUCCAAUAUUUGAUUUCCUUU